UUUUAUUGUUUUUUGAGACAUCACUUUGACUACUUACUUUUGAUCACUAUAUUAUUAUAUACGCAAAUAAAUCUAAACUUUUGAAAGUAUUAUUGAAGACAAACCUAACCAUAAGCCAUAUCAUUCUCAUAUUAUGCAUAUUAAUAUUUUCAGACCUAUCACCUAUCAAUGGUCAAAUUUUAUAAAGUUUGACACCAAGUCUAGGACAUCAAAUAAGAAACUGGGAGUAAAAAAGAGCAAAUUAUCAAGGCCCAACAACC
rnacentral:lncRNA from 7 species